rnacentral:tRNA from 1 species
GGGAGUUUAGCUCAGUUGGUUUAGAGCAUCUGCCUUACAAGCAGAGGGUCGGGGGUUCGAGCCCCUCAACUCCCA